rnacentral:rRNA from 1 species
GACGAACGCUGGCGGCGUGCCUAAUACAUGCAAGUAGAACGCUGAAGGAGGAGCUUGCUCUUCUGGAUGAGUUGCGAACGGGUGAGUAACGCGUAGGUAACCUGCCUGGUAGCGGGGGAUAACUAUUGGAAACGAUAGCUAAUACCGCAUAACAGUGGAUGUUGCAUGACAUUUACUUAAAAGGUGCAAUUGCAUCACUACCAGAUGGACCUGCGUUGUAUUAGCUAGUUGGUGGGGUAACGGCUCACCAAGGCGACGAUACAUAGCCGACCUGAGAGGGUGAUCGGCCACACUGGGACUGAGACACGGCCCAGACUCCUACGGGAGGCAGCAGUAGGGAAUCUUCGGCAAUGGACGGAAGUCCGACCGAGCAACGCCGCGUGAGUGAAGAAGGUUUUCGGAUCGUAAAGCUCUGUUGUAAGAGAAGAACGAGUGUGAGAGUGGAAAGUUCACACUGUGACGGUAUCUUACCAGAAAGGGACGGCUAACUACGUG